rnacentral:tRNA from 1 species
GGCAGGGUAGCUCAGCCGGUUUAGAGCACGGCACUCAUAAUGCCGGGGUCGCGGGUUCGAGUCCCGCCCCUGCUA